AGCUGGCCGCAGCCUCAGCGGCCGGGGGUGGCAGCCGCGCUGCGGGGCGGCCCGGGCCGCGGCCUGCUGCCUCCCUGCCGAGUGGGACCCGCUCCGAAUCCCUGUUCUGUGUAAGGGCUGGUAACUCUCAUUAUAUUCCCUAAUACUUCGUUGUUUUCCUGCUGAAUGUGAGCCAGCAGCGUGCCCAGGUGACCAACCAGGACAAGGGCAUCCCAGCUGCAGUAGCAGCAGCGCGGCCCGCAGAGCAGAACCGACCGCCGCUCUGCACUCAGCUCUGGUGGGGCCGCAUCUCAGUGCCGUGCUCAGUUCUGCGCCCCUCACGACGAGAAAGACAUCGAGGCCCUGUAGCGUGUCCAGAGAAGGACACGGGGCUGGGAGAGCUCUGGAGCAGGGAAGGUUAAACCUGUAGGAGAUGAGGCUCUUACCACUGCCUACGAGUGCCCGAGGGGAAGUUGUGGUGAGGUCGGGGCGGCCUCUCCUCGCAGGUAACAGCGAUGGGACGAGAGGGAAUGGCCGUAAGCCUUGCCGGGGAGGGGUCAGGUUGGGAAUUCAGCACGGUUUCCUCUCGGCGCGGUGCGGGCUGCGCACGGAGGUGGGGCAGUGAGUGGCCCUCAGGCGCUGUGUCGGUGAGGGAUAGCGGCGGUCUCUUCCAGCCGUACUGGUUCCUCUGAUAAAGUGCCCUUCCCAGGUUUCUUGAGUCAGCUGUCUGAUACAGUCCAAUAAAUACUUGCUGCGUUUUGCUUCGCGUGUUCACAUGUAGGUAGUUGCUUUUGUUUUCAUUAAUGUGGGUGAGCAAAAAUGAAGCACACAGCCACUAAUGUGUUCCUUUACUGCUUAUGUGUUGGGGUUAACGUUGCUAAUGAUGAUUUGCUCUACUGUGUGUUGGUUUAAAAUUUGCCGCCUGGUGGUCUUAAUUUAAUAUAGGAAAAUUUUAAAUUAUUUUAUAAAUCAUUUUAUUUUUAACAUGCAGUACAAAUACUUGGCAAAGCAUAAAAAUAUCUAAAAUGGGCAUCACCUGCUAAAACUAACAAAAAUAUUGGGACUCUUUUUUGUUUUUCUCAUACGUUUACAUUAUUUCUGGAUUUUUAUGCAGAUACCGGAACAAUUUUCAAUUUGUAAACUGGAUCACAUUGUCUGCUCAUUUGGGGACAUAAUAGUGUCAGAGAAGUAGUAUUUUUGCUUGGAUGGCAUUUCAUUCUUGUGGCUUCCAUGACUCAAGUCAGGAGCUGGACCUGACCCUUGUUGGUCUCUUCUGACUUAGGAUAUUCCAUGAUUUUACUGCCCAAACCAAACGUUUAACAUGAUAAUUAUCAUUAACAUUCAUCACUGGUUUCUUUAUGUUUUAUGAAAGGGUGCUUCUUUGAGAUAUUACAGUAUUCUCUAGAGAAGUCCAUGUAAUUUAGGAACUAGCCAUAUUCUUGACCUGCUACUGCCUACCUGAAUUAGAAACAAUGCUUUCUAAGCAGCCCAAAUAAAAAAGAAUAAGUCAGGCAUUUCGUUACAUGUCAUUAGCUGGGUUAUUUCUGUCUGUUAUACAUCUAUCCAUCUCCACUUUGACUAAAUACAGUGAGAUGUGUUUUUUUCCGCUUACAUAUUUAUUAACCAGUAGAGGGCUGUCAUUUGUCAGAGUUAUCUUAGAAGAGCAGAAAUUAGACCUAAGCUCUUACAUUUCGUUUCUAUGUCUUUGUGUGUGUGUGUGUGUGUGUGUGUGUGAAACAUUAGAGUAAUAUUAAGAAAAAAAAUCCUAAAUACACAAGAAAGAAGUUGUAUAUGAACAGGAUUACAAAGGUAAGAAUUAGGAGUGAUGUAUAAUUUUCAAGUUGGGAAUAACAGGUCAAAAGAAACAUACUGAGAGGAAUGCUUGCUAAUAUAUCUCUGAAUUUAUUAAUGAAGAUUUAUUUUUAAAAAAUUAGAACCCAUAUAUGUAUGUAAUGAACAUUAUGAGUAACUGUCAGAGGUUAAUUCCAUAUCAAAUUAUAAAUAAAUACAAAGUAUAGGCUACUUUCAAGCCAAUAAAUCACAUGAGAUUGGCAGAGUCUGUUACCAACCUCCCAAGAAUGCCAUUUACUUACACAUUUUAAUAAUGCAUUAACUCACCUAUUUUAUUAAUCAAGUUAAUGCUGUGUGAGAGGCGGAUUAAUUGUAUGGUGAGCAGGAGAACAAAUAAUCAGAGGCAGGCUUAUUGCUUGUUCUGGUUGUUAUGUAUAUGAUAAAAAAAUGAAGAUGAACUGCCUCCGUAAGACAUGCUUUUUGGCAGACAAUUGUUUUUAAAAAUUUUGAUUUUGACAAGUUAUUAAUCAUUACUAAAGAAGAGGAAGUAAGUCAUUAAUCUAUCCAUGUGUGUAAUGACAGCACUCUGGUCUGAAAACUAGUAACAGUUCUUGUGCAAUAUAUUGAUGAACUUUUGUUACUUGUAAUGUCAAGAGUUGAGGGAGACUCCUUGUGAGAAGAAAACCAGUUUUUAGAUAAAUUCUCAAACAUGUUAUCAUGCUUUCCAUGCUGUUAUUGUGUUUAAGAAAAGCUCAGUAUCUUCAGCUGUGAGAAUGUGCUGAGACUGCCUGUGCUGUGGAUUGCUCAGUGUGUGCUUGGCCUUAUCCCUUGCACAGGUGGCAGCCUGACUGACUGCGCCAGCUUAGUGAGAGAAAUCUGCCCCACCUGCUGGGUGUUGGAAGCCUCAGUUGUGCCAUCCAGUUAAUAAAACAAUGGCAGAUUUCAUUGAAAUCACCUGCAUCUUCUUGCAUUUCUUAAUUUCCCACAGAACUAACUUCAUCCUAAAUAAAAUGGACUGUAUUUAUUGAUCUCAAUUCCUAUGCGCAUUUCAAGGUGUUUUCUCUAGUUAGGUUUACCAACCAGUCCCUAAACUCAUUAGCUGAUGAACCCUGAGAGAUUAACAUCCGUGUCACAUUAUUAAUGUUGGCAUUUUUGUUCCUUUCCAAACUUUUAGUAAAGACAGCAAGCUCUUGAAGCUUAUGAUUAAAAUACAAGUCUGCUGAAGCAGAAAUGUCUAAAUUAAUGCAUGGGUUUACUAUCCAGGUUCCCAGUUUAUACAUGCAGACUUAAUACAGAGAAAUUUCCUUUCUGAGAAAGACAACAAAAAUAGAAAUCCUAAUAUAUAUCUGUCGGUAUAAAAUAACAUUCAAAAUUGAAAGAAGUGUUCCAUGUUUGGGAGAUUGAUUGGAAGUCAUCUUGUAGGCACGUUGGUUCAUGUUCUUGGAACAUUUAGCUCUCAGGUGGGCACCUUCUGUGAUUUGUGAUUGACUGCAAUAGAUUUUUCUCCAGCAGGCUGCAUACAGAACAUUCUUUACAGAUGAAAAAAUAUUUCCACGUAAAGGAAAAUCUAAUCAUUCUUUCCUAAUGAAGCUAUCAUGGAAAUUAAUCAUGACAUGAUUUUGCUGAGUUAAAAAUGAGCUCCAAUUAAAGAUUUGAUCUGGGCUGUCGGCUGAUGGAUAGGGAACAUUAGUAAGGGAAAGUUAAGUUCUCAUCCUGGAUUAGCUUUGCACAGACUGCGAGACUCCAGAAUUACCAACUCCAUCACCUCGAUUCUCUCCUUAGCUGUAAGUGCCACAUGAGAACAGCAGUUGUGUUUCUUCACUUUGUCUUAAGUGAACUCAGAAUUAAACUUAAGCAGAUGUUAAUGAUUUCCAUAGUAUUUUUUUUAUCCACAGUUGCAAAGCUAAAUUGAAAACUGUGAAGAUACAUAUAGUUUGAAAUAAGUACCCUGAACAAUCUUGAUUUACACUGUUUUCUUCACAUGUGUAUCUUAGUGAAGUAGCAUAUGUGAUGACUGUGUAGAAUAUUCCACUUUAACAGUUUAUAGGUGUAAAAGCAAUGAAAUAAGUUGAGAUUUCUUUAUUGUAGCAAUAUGUUACAGUGACAGAUUAAGUGUAUUAAUGCACUGCAAAUACUCAACACUAUCAUAUAUUUCUAAGGGACAUGAUUAUAUGCACUCAGAAGUCUUAAGCUGUUCAGUUGAUAGCAACACGUCUACAAGUUAACUACUUCAGCUUUAACAAAAGAAGGAACUGGUGAUUCAACUGUUCGCCUUUAGAACACAGUGCUUUGCUAGAGCUCUGCCAGUGAAGCAGCCAGUCCUUGUAUGGAUUUUCUCCAAGAUGAAUGACAUACCUGUGUUAAGAUUAGAAAUCGGGAGUUUGGAAUAUGUUGUUGAAUAGGUUAAAACAACAGCAGAGCUUUCAUCUUAACACAGAGAUGAAAUCUGGUGGUUGUGGCUGUUUUACUGCUAUUGCCGAUAGAAGAACUGAAUGUUCAGUUCAAGGAUGCGUAUCUUCUUCCUGAGUUCUUCAGUACAGCACAAGUACCAGGUCACAUUCAUUUAGAUCACUUUUCUAGGAAAAGAGAUUUUUUUUUUUUCCAAGUGAAGGAAAAGACACAUCCCUACUUCCACUCUGCCAAGUACAGCUGUCCUUGUAACUAAUUUAAAUGGCUAUCUGCAUAGCUGACCUAUUGCAGUGAGGGAGAAAGGAUGGUUAAUUGCUUAUAAGAAAGAUAAACGUAGUGCCCAAUUGCAAGCAUAAGGUAUAAAUGUUCUGCAGUAUGAUGUCGCUGUUUCCUUGGAACAUUUUCAUUUUGGACAGUUUAAAGUGGGAAAUAGCACUGCUUCCUGUUAGUGCCACAUUGUAAAGGAAAGAGUUCAGGGAUUUCGGUACUGCCUCUUCUCUCUACUUCAGUAAUUGUUGGCUUUUAUAGCCUACUUUGAAUGAAUGGUAUUUCCGAGAAAUACGUCAAGACGACUAACCUUCUCUUAUAGUUCUUAGUACUUGGAACAUCUUCUGAGCAUUGAUAAACUUGAAUGCAUUUCCUGGGACUUGUCAUGCAAUACAGAAUCAAAAUUGGAAUCUACAUCUCUACUUUCAUUUCAAAUCAAUAUAUCUUUUAUGCUCCUUACUUUCAGUAACUCUGUCCAAAAGGUUAGAUAUGUACCAAAUUACCUCUUGGAUUUCUUAGUUGUAUAGUACUGUGAAUGUGUGUUCUGUUUUAUUUUUAAUGAUGUUUUAAAUUCAAUUUGAAGUAGAGAAGUGUAGUGGAAAUGCUAAGUCAUGGCCUGAAGCAGUGAUGGAGCACCUGGUGGGAAGGCAGGGCCAGCCCAGGGGAGCUCAGCUGCAUGCAAUGCAAUGCAUUGAGAGACCAGAAGGCUUGAGUCAGGAUGCAUCCCUUCCCAGCCCUCAUUUAAGGGCUGGCAGUGGAGGUGAGGGGAUCUCACUGGAGAACCCUGAGUGCCUGAGGCCUUCCAAAGCCAAAGCUCCUGGUGAGGAUAUGAAGGAAUUCAGGAUGACAGUUUCAGUGUCUUAUCCAAACAGACGUGUAUUGGAAAAGGACUAGAGAAAUGGUGACAGCAGAUUCAGUGCCCCAUAUCUUGAUGUAUACUGAGCUAUUCCAGGAAAACACUGCAUUGAGAAACAUGAAUUUGGUACAGCAUACUGGGAGAAAAGUUCACUUGCCAGCUUGUAGUAGGAGGGAUGCAUAUUCAAGAAGGCAGAUUGUAGCUAGCUACUGCUCUUCAUAACUGUCUCUGACUUUUAUUGUAGUACGCUUUCCUGAAUAAAAUUUCACAGAAAACUCAAUUUGAUCAUCUGGUAUGAUCUGGAAAAUUGUUAAAUUUUUGAAUAUUGUCUGAUUGGCUAAGAAAUGUUGAAAUAAGUUGUCAUUUGUACUCUAGGUAAUUGCUCCUUUUUUUUUUUUUUUUGUAAAUUUAGUCAUUUUAAGACUAUGCCUUUCCCUUGCAAAAAUGUGUGCACAAAACACUGUAUUUGUGAAUCUUCAUAUUGUGUUUGCUCAGUAACAAUUUUAGGACAGUUGUAUCAGAUGCCCAAGGCAUUUAAUCUCUAUAACUCUAGGCUGAAACUAGCAGGAGCUGCAGUAUACCAGUAAAAUAAGUGGAUGGUGAGACAAAUCAAGAAGAUCUUGACUGACAUUAACGUGAGACUGAGUUCAAUUUUUAGGGCUUAAUUAUUAAAGUAUUUUAUAUAAUUUUGAACUCUUGCUCAGAACCUUGAGGACUUUUCAUUUCCUAAUAGCUCAGAAAUAAACACAUUUUUAAAGUUUGCAUCAGUAAGACAAGGAUUUGAGUUAACAGAAAUAGAGGCCAUAACAAGCAGGAGAAAGCAAGUACUAUAAAAUGUCAAUUUAGAAAUACAAGCAAGGCCAGAAAAGCCAAGUUUCCCAUUAAAUGCUCUUGCAAACCAUGCUCCCUGCUAGCAGUUCUUGCUUAGCUUUUUCUGGAUUUCUCUAGUGUGGUUAAUCGCUCCAUCUGUUAGACAGUGAGCAGUUUGUCCUUUGCUCUUUUGACUCUGAUCUGGCUGGCUGCAGUUCACAACAGCCUCUGCGCUUCCUCGAAUGGUUCAGAAGAUAAAUGGCUACCUGAGGAGAAAAAGAAUGCAGUGAAACUUAAAUACAACUUUUCCAUAGUGCUGACCAACGCUACAGUGCUCAGCACUGCAUCUGAAUCCUGGCUUUGGUGUAGAUAAAGCCUCCAAUUUGGAAAUUCAGCAGCAACCCCUGUAUUUUUCCUCUGAAUGCUACAUAAUAUGCUGUCAGUUUGCUUCCAGGUGACUGCAAAUUCUUCCUGGUGCAGAAGGCUCACGAAAUAUUCGGUGUAUGCGCAUGAUUUAGAAGAUGGUACAACUGUGGAAAAACCUUACUGUAGGAUGUUAUGAGAGCAGCCCCCUGCAGUUCUUCUCAGAAAUGGAGUACUGCUACAUGCUGUCCUAUCCACAGCAGAAAAAGAAACCAGGAUCAGAGCCUGCUGAAGAUCAGAGCAGAAAGGAGUUGCUCCUGCCUCUUACAGUGUCAGCUUUAUCCUGAAGGACUGGAUCCAACUUGCUCCGCAGCAAGCUUGUGUCCUUUGGUACAUCUUGUUCACAGUUUUCAAUGAACGUGAACCAGCUGGUCCUUGGGACGGCUUUUCUCAACAGUACAAAACUGUGGAAAUGCCACCCUCAGCUCUACUUUCUAUCAGCACAACAGGAACACUGAAAGUAUCCGGUGUUGUAACAUGGACCCAGCAGAACACAAUGAAUUUUGCUACGAGCUUGGAUGCAAUGAAAAUCAUUUAAACACAAAUCUUGAAUUUUCCUGCAGAGCAAGAUAUGAUGCAGCCUAGCUUGUCCACCUCAGAUUCUUACAUAAGAAGGCAAAUUGGAGAUGAGUUUGCAUGGUCAUGUCGUGAUUCUCAUCUCAAGAAUUUAAGAUAUCAAAGAUGAUUGUUUGCCAUCUGUGAGGAGAACAUUCCCUUUACAGUGAUGACACACUUUGAUUUCCUGGUGUAUGCAGUAUGCACUGUGGUGCAGAGGAUUCCAGUUGCUGUGAUUUUUAGAAGAAAGAAUAAUUAUCAUAGGGAACUGACCUCGUACUUCCUAUGACUGGAAGGUUCUUAAAGGAAGAAACUCAUGGGAGGCAGUGCAUAGCAAGAAAGAGCAACCCAAAAUCUAUUCUCAGCAUUGAUGUCUCUUACUGUCUGAUGAAGGAUCCUUGCCUCUUUCAGUGCUGAGGGUAAACAGCCUCACAAAAACCCGCCCAGCACCUUCUGGUAUGCUUUUUAUGCUGUGUGUGGCACCAAUCUUAUUUGUUUCUCACUGUUCAAAGCAUCUCAGAAGAGAAAUGGUUAUCUCACAGACUUUUCUGUCUCAUCUAUCACUCACUACUGUCUCUAAGGGCUUCACAGUGACUAAUUAAUUUAACUUCACAAACUCUUGCAAGAUAAGGGAUAGCAUUUAGUUGAGGCACAAAGAGAUGAAGGUCAAAAGUUUCUCCAAACUUGGAAGUGCUGUACUGAGAUGUUGUGAGCAUGGUGUUCAGAACAAUAAAGCUUUUUAUGUUCAAAUUACAAGUUGUUAUUUGUCUCAGUUGCAAUAAAUGGUGUUCAGCAUUUCUGUCAAUCAGAAUCUGAGUUCAGGACAGACAUCCAUAAAAUAAGAAAUGAGUAGUUGUGAAAAUAUGCUGUCUAUAAGUGCCCGUUAGUGAGAGGAGGACAAAAAAUCUUCGACAGAUGCAAGGCUAUAAUGUGGUAGCACAUUAUAAUCUCAGACAGCAUUUGAUGUUCAGGAUGUUUUCUUCUCCAGCAGCUCUUUGUCAUUUUCAAAGAUGACCUUCUCCGAGCUCAAGGAAAGUAUAGAAAAGCAGCGGGAGGCCUGUAUGGGUGAAGGAUCUCCUGACCGACCUCGGCCAUAAACUAAAUGCAUGCAAGACAUGGAAACAGAGAUGGGUGGCCCAGGGGGAAAACAGAGAUCCUCAUUUCCUCGGCUGCUUCCACGAUAUCACUCUCUUCACAAGUAGAAACAGGGAUUUUCUGUCUCUCAGAAGUGAAGGGGCAGAGGAAGCUGGAAAUAAUCUGACUUAAAACAGCUGCCUUGACUGCUUGGACUUCAAUAGAUUACCUGAUCAAGAAGAAAGCCGUGAAGAAAAUGAGAUUCAGUAACUCACUGUGGUGCAAGGAGAUGUCAGUUGUCUGUAAGUGAUGUGCAGAUGAUGUUUGUACAACAUUGACUGUCUCCAGCUUGAUCGAAAGCUGCUAAUCUUAACACAUCUGUUUUCCUUGACUUCAGUGAACUCGGGAUUGGGCCCUUUGAGAACAGAUAAAAGCUAAAAAUAUUGCAGUGCCAAAACCAAACAGCUAAGCUCACUUACUCCCACAUUCCUGUACGAUUUCUUAAGCUGUAACCCUACUCUGUGCAAGCUCUUUAAUUCUGUAGAUGCACAGUAACUUAUCAUUUGCAUCUCGUGAAGCUUGUACAACAAUGGCAACUACAAUUAAACCAUAUCACUUGGUUUCAUCAUACUUCCCCCCAGUAACUUUGACAUCAACAUUUCUCAGAGUGGCAAUUCUCCUGAGCUUUCCAGAGUUUAUAGUUCACAGGUAAAACAGCAUGUUCUCUGCAAAUGUUAAUGAGUUUACAAACUGCUGAGUACUGUAAUGAUGAAUUUGAUCAUCUUUCUCUACUGACUAUACACAGUUUUGGCACUGCAAUAUUUUUAGCUUUUAUCUGUUCUCAAAGGGCCCAAUCCCACGUUCACUGAAGUCGAGGAAAACAGAUGUGUUAAGAUUAGCAGCUUUCGAUCAAGCUGGAGACAGUCAAUGCCCACUACUAAAACCAUUCCUACAGUAUGCGUUUACAGCAAUGAGAGUAGGGAUGAUGUUCACGUCCCUCAUUCCAACUACGUCGGAAGUGCUUUCCAUCAUCUUGAAAGUAUGGAGGGGAAAAAAAUAAAUCCUGAGUUAGAUCACUAAUACCAGAUGCACAAAGGGAUCACAUGUAGACACUGGAAAGAGGACUGGAGGACAGAAAAAGGACAGACCUGAACAGAUUUAGACACCAGACAGAGAAAAUACUAGAGUCAGCAACUGUCUCAUGAAAAAGAACACAAAUACUGCUUGCAGUUGUCUUGUAUGAAAAAAGCCUUUCCAUUAAGAAUUAUUUUAAACUGUAUUGUUUUACUGAAGCAUUAAGAUUAAAAAUAGCAAUUAAAAAAAAUCUGCUACUACCCUUUAUUGACUCAUAGAUCAGUAGCACUUUGCACACAGCAUUUAGAGCUUGUUAAGGGCUGGCCAUAACUAAAGAAAAAUCUGGAGAGUCUUUUGUGUUUCCUUGGUUUACAUCCUAUUUUCUUCAGUCAAAAUGUGCUGUACAGCAGCCUGAAGGAAUGCCAGCCAUCAUGGCUCCUCAUGUGUUCCAGGACUACCUGGGGUUGCUGUUACAAGGACAACUAUGACAACUUUCUGCUCUUGUUGUCCAUGGACUGCAAUUUGGUGCUCACUUCAGUUCCUAAAAAAUAUUGUGCAACCUUUGCUAUCUAUGGGAACUUCUGUUCACUUACACCAAACUCCUGGCCCUCCUCUCACCCCAAGCCUUGCACCUGGGCAGGAAUGAGCCUGACAUUGUCGCCCACAGUCCAUAUAAGGUGUGCUGCUAUGAGCCAGACCUUCUCUGGUCCAAGCAGCUGUGUGCCACCAGAACCAUGGAGUACUGGCCCACAGAGGAAGAUGAACCUCAACCAUGAAUCAAUCAUCAGUUUCUUACGUUCUGUCAAUCUACACCGUGACGGGCAAAUUGUACUAAGCAUUGCAGCAUACUGGAUCACCAUAACGGAAAGGGCUUACCUUCAACCUGCUCAAUCAUUGGUUCACACCGUGAAGGGGUGGACUGUAGUGGAAAUGCUAAGUCAUGGCCUGAGCCAGUGAUGGAGCACCUGGUGGGAAGGCAGGGCCAGCCCAGGGGAGCUCAGGUGCAUGCAAUGCAAUGCACUGAGUGACUGAAGGGUUGAGUCAGGAUCCACCCCUUCCCAGCCCUCAUUUAAGGCUUGGCAGUGGAGGCAAGGGGAUUUCACUGGAGAUCCCUACAUACCUGAAGCUUUCUAAAGAUUUUUACAUCAAGAAUCCCCGCAAGAAGGAUUGCAACAGAUACAAAGCAUUGAUGAUGGACCUUCCUGACGGCUAAGGUGAAAAGUGGGAAUAUUUUGCAGUGGAAGUUAUGCAGUGUUGCAAAUAGUAUUAUUUAAUUUACAUGUCCAAGAACAAAAUACAAUUUUAGAUACUAAAUUGAUGUAAUGGGAAUGGUACUUCACUAAUAAUGUUUAACAAGUAAAACUUAUACGGCAAAGCACCAAAACAGCAUAUGAUGCUUAUUCUUCUAAGGAUUGCCUUUGUUUUCAGGUGAGUGUUGGAUGACAGGACUUAUCAAUACUUAAUAACAAACUUCUGUGGAACCAAACCCUUAUUAAAUACUUAUGAUGACGGUACAGAGGUAAAAGCGGAUUCAAGAGUAACAGCAGAACUAUUUUCGGAAGUCAAACUGUAUUUAAAUAAUGAACUUUUCAUCUGCUAGAUAGUAAAUACAUCCCUGUGCCAUUGGGCAGCAUUUCAAAGUACUUGAAUCUGCACCUGAUUACAUCAAAAUAAGUCUCAUCCUUCAUAAGCACUUUUCAAGUUUGCUGUUGUGUGACUCAGAACUAACUAGGUAAUAGUCUGUUACUGCAGUACUCUUUUCUAUUAUGACUGUCUUUUGUUUUAUAAAUUAAUCGUUCCAUCUCUUAAAAUUCAUUAUAAAAUAUUUCAUAUUUUUAUAACUAUAAUGUUAAUUACUGCCACUGAAGGAUAAUGUCAGUGAUUAACUGUAUUUCUCCCAAAUACAUUUUACAGUGAUGAAUACUUUUAUUAUGAUAUGUCAAACUUAUCUGAAUUAAAAGCUCACUAAAAGUAAAUUACGGGAUGCAAGACAGUAAUCUAAUGUAAUUAUUUUUAUAGCACAAUAAAUGAAGACAGAGCAAAAACUUCAUUGUUGAGUCCUAAUGGAAAUGGUUAAUAGAACAAAGCUUAUGAACCCACUGUUGUUCAAAACAUAUCUCAUUGACUAAUACUGCAGAAAGGGUACACAACAUAUUCUUCAUGGUUUUCCAAUGAAAUCAUAUUCAUCCAGAAAUGUUUUAGAAUAAGGAAGAAAGCCAGUGAACUUGUGCAGUAACUUCAAGUUCAAAGUUGUAUUGGAUUACUGGCCCAGCAUACUCAGUCCUUGUUCAUGCCAACAGUUGUCUUUUAUUUGCCUUAGCUUAUUUUUUCAUUUGCUGGAUUAAGUCAACAAGAUGAUCCCAAAAGCAUGGAACUAGUCAUGUUCUGACAUAUGUAUCUAGGUAAAGACAGAUGUAGUUAAUGAAAAGCUAUUGUGUGUAGUAUAUACUAACAUUUUCAAAAUUAUCCUUUUUCUUUCCUAAUGAAUUAGAGAAAAGUAUCACAGUCGAUGCUUAAUGAAAUAUUUGAUUUUUCUUACUGUUUUAUCUUUUCUAAAUAAAUUCAGAAGCUCUCACUAUCAGGUUGUAAUUAAAUUCCUUUAAUAUCCUCUUUGGUGUUUCAAGAAGGUUCUCAAAAAUCAGUGUCAUGAAUCUGAAUUAAAAUCUGAAUAUAAAUUACUAACAUUUUUAUAUUAAUAAUUAUGAGGCUAAACAACCAUUCAGAACAGAUUAAACAUCACCGUCUUUAGCAGUGAGUGAGUGGGUUGCAAAAGAAAUGCAUCUUUAGAUGCUAAGUUCUAUGAGAAAUUGUGUUCCCAGCAUGGAAGGUUUGGAGCUGUAAUACUUUUCACCAUAGCUGUAGUUUUAUUAAUGUUUAAAAAAUCUGUUUUUUAAAAAAAAGCAAAAAUUCUAUCAUCAGUUUACAAAUGCUUUGAAGAUCUACUGGAUACCAUAAUAUCAGUUGAUGUCAGUGUCUAGAAUUUAAUUUGAAGUGGUCUCAAGAUGGUUCUGACAAAGCAGCAUGCUGUUUCUAACCUCAAUCAGAAACUAUGUUAAAAAAAAACAACAUUUAUUUUGACAUGGCUUAUGAUGGUGCUCUGCCCUUUUUCUUAGAUUAUUACUUUUGUAAAGUAUGUAAUACAAAAGUCAAAUUUUUCCCUAUCCAAAAUGUAACACUAAGUAGUCCUCUUCCAGGGCUAAUCUGAGCCUACUGGCUUUUAGGUCAGCAACUAUCUAAAGUAUCUAAACUUUUUUUUUUUUUCUUUUUUGAAUAGUUUUAAGGUGCUUCCUGGGUAGAUUAUGAGUAAAUAAAAUGAAUUUUUGCAUACUAAUGAAAACUAAAGGCUUCAAAUGGAAACACAUUCCCCACACUUAUUGACUACAAUUCCUUUCCUCUGCCACAGCAUUCUAGUUUCUUGUGAACUAAGUAUAUCGUCCAGUUAAGCUGGCCAUUUUAUUCUCCCUCAUUCUUCACUGUCUCAGAACACUCCAUCAGCAGUACUUCACUUCUCUUUUGGUCACAGUGCUUUUCCUUGGCUGGAAACUUGUUAGUAUUCUCCAUCGCUUUGCUCAUAAGACAUGGCUGGAGCCUUGCCUCUAGAGAUCAGCUUUUCUACCUGUACUUUGUCCUUCUGGGUGAGGAGGUAACAGUCAAUUAACAUUUAUGUAGAAUUAGUCCAGUUCCUUUGGGCUGGACCUGUGUAUAUAAUCAGGUCUAAAAAAUCAUUUUACUGUAAUCAAGCAACCUAGGUAGCAGUGAGGCAAAGCAUAAAGUUAUUUGCUCACUCCUUUGCGUUUUGCAUCUGUUCACUGGAACAAUGUUUUUAAUACUGUUUCGAAGCCCCUAUCAACUGAAGUCUGUUAUUACUUCCUCAUUACCAGGAAAGUAAGUAACCUAGUUUGUAUUUUACAUACUCCAAGAGCUUUGCAUUUCAAAGAUACUGAGAAACUUUGGUGAACUAUUAAGCCUGUAUGCUUAUUUUCAGGGAGUAAAAGCAGGAAUUAUGCUUAGACAGUGCAGUACAGUGAACCAUAAACUUACAAAUAUAAACACAGUCUGAUAUAGAUAUGUUAAACAUAAUUAGUUUGCCAAAGAGCUCUGCAUUAAACAAGAAGAAAAGUAUAUUCACAAAGGGUGAAAAAGACUGCAAAAAACUCUUGCAAAUUCUAACUGCAUUUUCACAGUGUCAAACUAGUGAUGGUUUCACAGGAAAACAAAGGCUGAGCUUCAAAUCACAGCCAUGGGGGAUACACAGGAAUACAUAAUACAAAAUGUUUAUUCUGAUAUGUGAGAACUUUAGAGAAUACUCUCCUCAUUAUAUUCUAACUAUCCAGUGCAAAGAAAGAAAUAAAAAAUAAAAUUAAUUUAUCAUAAGGCAUCAGUUAUAGAAACAUCUUAGCUUUGUUUUCAGCAUUAGCAUUUGUAAUGAGCAUGCGUCCAGAACAACUGACAGUCAAAUACAGGCGCAAACACAGUAUUCCUUUGCAUAUACUUAAGAGGAAAAGUUGUUUUAAUCAUGUGUGCUGCAAAUCCUUAAAAUGGGCAAUUUUGAUAUAGUGCAACAUUUUGUGUUAAAUUAAAAAUGAAGAAAUAACCCAUAUAUGUCAAGCUAACUAAAAGCUAGCGUUUCACCUUGAAAAUUUCACCGUAGUUUCAAAUUGGCUUCCCUUUAAAGUUAGCUCAAUCUUUGGAUUCUGCAUAAAUGCUUUAAAUAUCUUAGUGCAAGGAGACAGUAACUGAGCUUUUACUGAUCAUUAGGAAAAGUGACCGUGGACAGCUCUAACAUAAGUGUUUCUUUCUGCCAUCAUAAAAUAUGAAUUAGAAAUAAUACUAGCUAUCAUCUUCCAGAAAUAAGCAUGUAGCUAGAAAGGCUCCUAGAUCUUGAUGCAAUGGUUUUAUAAUCCCACGUUUAAUAAAUCGCUGACUUCUAACACAGUAAGUAGAAAAAAACAUCUUGAAUGCUGCUGCUCUGUUAAGAUCUGUGAAAGUUAAAUAGAGGUGAACAAAAGUGAUCUCAAAUUCUGUAGAAAUAUUUGCACUUGGUUUUGUUUUUAACAUAACUUACAAAUGCUUUUUUAAAAUAAUAUUUAAUAUGCCAUACUACAGAACCUGAAUGUGGUAACUCUACGUAGAUAACUGCUGCUUGUUUACAAAGCACUAUUCCAUUCUAAUGUGUUCAAGUGACGAAAAAAUAAUGGAGAAGUAAUCCUAAAUAAAGCAUGCUUUCAGGAGAAAAUUAUGGCAACUAACAACCUUUAAGGACAAAGCAGCUUUCACUAAUAAAUGUCGAGGUUGUCUGGAUUUACCUGGGCACAGAAAAGGUAGUUUUAGUAAAGGUAGUCUUAGUUUUUCCAGGAUCUGCAGUAUGGCUUUUCUUUUCUGAGUAUCAGAAAAGAAAGGAUGGGAAACUCAAACUGCGCUUGCUUAGACUGUGAGGUGCUGAAAAGAAAUUUUACUUUGGCUUUCCAUUGCACUAUUGCUUUCGGCAAAUAGUUGUGCUUAUAAAUCUUUGUUCUCUGGUAAUAAACAGUCCAAAGACAGAAACACGCUCAUUUUUGGUGUCAGAGAUCGAGCAAAGUUUGUUGUUUUGACAUAGCAUCCCUUUGCAGGGGGUGAAGGGACACCUUCAGAGUGGGUUGGCAGCAGAGCAAAUGAAUAUUCAAAUUAUAACAUUUUUAAUAAUGUUGGGCCUUCAAAAGUUUGUCUUCGAUAUUUUGAAAGACACAAUAUGGAAAUGGUACAUACUGCCUAAGAGAUUACUCCUGCCUUCUUCAUAUUUACAGACCAAUGUGAAAAGUACAUUAGUAUCAAAUUUUUAUGUUUCAUUUUGAGAUAGCUAGUAGGUAGGAAGUGGUAACUUAGCAAGUAAAACUUCAAAAAAAUAUAUACCAAAGCAUCUGAUGCUGUAAGUUUGUAGUACUUCAUUUUCUCUAUGUAAGUAAAGAUCUGGAAUAGAAGUGCAGAGAAAGCUAUACUUGAGCUUUGCUAAUUUACUUCUAAAAAUACCCCAAGAAGUCACUUUUCCAGCACUAGAAGUAGGUAAUGCUGAACUGAGAAAGUUUCUGUAAGUAGUAUCUGCACUCUUAGUGUCUUAGAACUCCGCUGUAAAAUUUCCUAUCACUAAGAUACUGGGCUUAGGAAAUUUCUCUAAAUAAUAAUUCUUUCUAAAGCCUUUUCCAGCACUGUAAUGCACAUGCACUCACCACACUUGAAUCAUUGUUUGAUGUACAGACUAAUUCUACAAGGUCUUUUAGUCAUGUUUUUGAUGAAUUUAUCAGGCAAUAUAGUGGCAACAAAAACAAAGCUACAGAGCAAAUGCCUGGAGUAACUUCACCACUUUGGAGGUCUACACCAAAAAAUUGACUGACUUAAUCCAUAAAUUUGACCAAAGACUGAAACAGCUACCAUCUUCUCUGCUUUUUUCCAAGGUUUCCAUUCAUUGCAGGAAUGCCUGAACUGCAUGUGAAGCAGUCCCAAGACUGGCUCCUUUUCAUCACCUAGGGGUGUUAAGAUAGCUCCAACAUACCAGUAGAGAUCCUAUGUGGUAAACUGCAGUGAAGCAAGAGCUCCUUCACAUAUAUUAUAUGUGUCAAAGGGACACAUUCUGAGAUCAAUGCGGUAUGGAUAACUGGUGCCAUAAGUCAAGGUCCUAAGGUACCAUUACAUUUAUCUUUUUUGCUUCCUCGAUGUUGUAAUUAUGUCUUUCCACUAAGAUGGACAUAUAUGUCCAAUAGUUUAUAGAACAAAGGCUUAAAUCUUAAUUAAAAAUACAAGAAACUUAAAGAGUUUAAAGACUCACUGUAGUAUGUAAUAUACUGCAGUAUACAAAGUUUUAAGCAAAACCUCAGUGUGAAGAUUACAAAAUUCCAGAUGCAAUCAAUACAGUAGGAAUCAAUUUACUUCCUGGCUCUCUUCAUUAACUGAGAUUCUGAAUAUACAUUUCACUUAUAACAGAAACUAAGGGUUGUAACAUGACUUCAUUAGCAUUUGGCAUCUUCCUGCUUGAAAACACAGUCACAGGAAGGAUUGAGAGAGAAGCAUAAGUUCCUCUUGAGAAACUGUGCUUUUAUGCAAUUAAGAGAUGUAAUGCUGCGGUAUGCAUGUACUUCCCCUUCAGUAGUGUUGAACUGCACAUGCCCAGGUGGAAGUACUUUGCUGGAAAGUAGCGCUGACAGAUUAGAUGUCGGACUUCACUAUAUAUGGUAUCUCUAUUAGAGGUCACAGCUUUAAUUCUCUCCUGUUGUCCUGUAACCAUGUGCAUAAGAAAUCACCAUCAGCCUUUACCACAAAACAAGUGCCAGGAGUGCACACAGCACAUGAAUCUUCUCUUUCUCUCACUGUUCUUACGAUGUUCCCCCAAAAAGAAGGGAGCAGUAAAAUCGCACAGAAACUGCACUGUCCUGUCUGAACAAAACUAAUUCUUUGUCCAAAUAUAAGGAAAUUUUAUGCUUUCUCCAGAUGAGGAAAAGACAAAUGCAUGUAGUAUAAAUGUUUCAGAACCCAAAUACCAACGCAGGAAAAAGUAUACAUGCAGUAGUAUGCUCAACUACAUUGAUCUACAUCACAGAAUAAAGCCAUUUACUGUCGAAUGAUCCAUACUUUCCUGAAUGAUACUCUUGUCCUGAACUUGAAAUUUUAAACAUGUAAUCUGUAAUUUCUAUGUAUCUAUAUGUACAUAUAAUAUAGAAGGACACAAAAUACAUAAACAUGCAAAUUAAAAUUAUAGUCAAACUGUUCAUCAUGAAAGGAAAACAUAUCUGAGCACAACAAGGAUCUGCGCUGUGGUACAAUAGAAGACUGAGAAAUAAAGUGCCUAGAAUUCCAGAAGCCCUUGAAAUGUCACCAUAUGUCCUUUGAAACUCCAAGGUGUAGUUUUACUUAAUCUUCCAUAACAAGUAAUUAAUAGCAAAUGCAAAACAAAAUUAUUAUUUAAAAUUUAAUAGUUUUCCUCUUAAAUUUCCAUUAGAGAAAAAAUUGAGGAAAUUGAAAACUACAUACAACUUUAUGCUCUCCAGGAAUGUAUUUAAGUAUUUUACUAGUGGCGAUGAUAACGAGACCACCACUAGAUGAUACCCCAGUGGGACCACUUUCUUUUUGGGUGUUACAGAUGUAUCAUACAUCUUGUUAAAUAUUGCUGUAAGCUUAGCCAUUUUUAUUUUGGUAUUAAAAACACACAGAAUAAGGAAUAGGUUGAUGAGCUUAAUAAAAACAUCAGUUAGAAAGAGACAAAGAUUCAAAACAGUCAACCAAGACAACAAGGUAAAAAAAAAGACAGUAACUCAUUUUUUCUCAUCAAAAUGGUUUUCUGUAAGCAUUGCACUUUUUGCACCAGGAAAUCUAGGUAUUUCUAUUUCUGAGAUAAACUAUUUCUAUGCCAGAACAUGUGUACUGUAUAUACACAUUUGACAUCUACCAAUAUCAUUUCAUAAUAAUCAUUUUAGUGCAAGCAUUCCAGAUAUAAAUGUGGUUAUAAUGCAACUUACGUAAGU